UGAAGCCAUGCCUGGUUGAGGGUCA
rnacentral:rRNA from 1 species